UGUGUGUCCAGAGAGAGACAGCUGUAAGGUUCUAGUUUGUUGUGUGUGUCCAGAGAGAGACAGCUGUUAGGUUCUAGUUUGUUGUGUGUGUCCAGAGAGAGACAGCUGUAAGGUUCUAGUUUGUUGUGUGUGUCCAGAGAGAGACAGCUGUAAGGUUCUAGUUUGUUGUGUGUGUCCAGAGAGAGACAGCUGUAAGGUUCUAGUUUGUUGUUGUGUGUGUCCAGAGAGAGACAGCUGUAAGGUUCUAGUUUGUUGUUGUGUGUGUCCAGAGAGAGACAGCUGUAAGGUUCUAGUUUGUUGUGUGUGUCCAGAGAGAGACAGCUGUUAGGUUCUAGUUUGUUGUGUGUGUCCAGAGAGAGACAGCUGUAAGGUUCUAGUUUGUUGUUGUGUGUCCAGAGAGAGACAGCUGUUAGGUUCUAGUUUGUUGUGUGUGUCCAGAGAGAGACAACUGUAAGGUUCUAGUUUGUUGUUGUGUGUCCAGAGAGAGACCGC